AAACAUUCCUUGCGCUUCCUUAUGAUUUUAUUGUUUUUCGCUCCUGGACGCUCCAUUUGCUGGCAUCCUUGGAAGAAUGCUCUAGUCCUUCAUUCCUUGUGCUUGACAAAGAAUGCUGUAGUCCUUCAUGGCGAGUACGACCCAUCAAAUCAAGGAAUAGCUGCCCAGUUGCGGUUUUGAAGAACAUAACCCGGGUUUUCAUUUCUGAAGGCUCCAUUCGCGGUUGAUGGCGAAUACAAAACCCUCCUCAGGGAAUGCUGUACUCCUCCAUGGCGAGUUCAAAACCCUCCUCAAGAAUUGGGUCUGUCAAAAUUGACGAAGUCCAAGGGAGCAAAUGUCACAUUGGUGAGCUCAUCGUGCGGUUUGCAGCCUCAAUUAUCGACUGGGCUCGGGUCGAAACGGCCAUUUGCACGUUUGUUUGACGCACAGCGUUCUCUCCACAAACCCCGUGGACGUGGCAGUCUGCAAUCGAAGAAGAGCUGCCUAGUUGGGGCGAGUAUGGCUGCGAGAAUCCUGUCAUCUUCCUGUACUGCUCUCUGCUAGAAUUGAAGAAACCCCACCAGCAGCACCAGUAUCAUGCCGUAGACAAUCGAAGAAGAGCUGCCCAGUUGGGGUUUUAAAGACCAGAACCCGGCUUUCGAGCUAUCUAUUGGAUUUUAAAAAUUCGCCCCAGAAGUUGGUGACUAUCAUAGUUUCAGGCAUAAGUGAAGAAGCCCCCACAAAUAUUCCUACAUAUCUACUCUCUACUGGAAUUUCUUUCCGUGAAGACUCUGUCGACCCUCCAAGUCUUUUUCCUUUGUUCGUUUGGACCAUUUUUCUUUUACGGCAGUCUCUAAGGAGGCCCUCCCUGUAGGUCAUAAAGACAGCACCCAUAAAUGUUUCUUCAAAUACGACUGCGAGCUAGGGAUGCAGCAGAUUCACAGAGAAUCAGGAGCGGUCAGGUCACAUGGUGUAGAACUGAGAAACGGAUCAAUGUCAGUUAUUAUUCCCAAGCUUAUUUGGGAUGGCCAGCAUUCAAGCUUAGCAGAAAGUUCUAGAAGCUCAGAAAGUUACGGAAAAAAUAUAGGCUUCAUUGUUUGAAGAAUGUAAUAAAGAUUAACAAGAGGCACUAAGAGCAAAUCAGCAGUUUAACACAGAGCAUAUGCUUGAAGGUUUGAAAAAAUGAUGAGGAUAAUGGAGAAAGUGGAGAGG